ACUUCCAGAACAAACGCUUCAUAGUUCUGGCUGUCCAGGUCCUUGACCUGGUGACUUUUGAUCUGCAGGACUGAUUUUCCGUAGUUCUGGCUGUCCAGGUCCUUAACCUGGCGACUUUUGACCAAGCGCUGCGUACUUUCUGCGCUCCAGGUCCGCUACCUGGUGAAACUCGACUUCCAGAACAAGCGCUCCGUAGUUUCUGCGUCUAAGGUCCACUACCUGGUGCAACUCGACUUCAGGGACAAGUGCUCCGUAGUUUCUACGCUCCAGGUCCGCUACCUGGUGAAGCUUGAAUUUCAGGAAAAGCGCUCCAUGGUUCCAGCGCUCCAGGUCCGCUACCUGAUGAAACUCGACUCUCGGAGGACAAGGAAGACGAGGAGAACAAGGUGGACGAAGAGAACGAGGAUUUCUGCACGGUCGUUAUCGGUGGGUGUUGGAGGUGAUCUGAGGUGGACAAGAAGAAGGACGAGGAAGACGUGGAGAACAAGGUGGGGGAGGAGGACGAGGAUUUGUGCUCGGUACAACCGAAGGUGGUUAUCGGUGGUCGUCGGUCGUCGUUGGAGGUGGUCGGAGGU
rnacentral:lncRNA from 1 species